CCCUACGGGGGGCAGCAGUGGGGGAUAUUGCACAAUGGGGGGAACCCUGAUGCAGCGACGCCGCGUGGGUGAAGAAGCGCCUCGGCGCGUAAAGCCCUGUCAGCAGGGAAGAAAAUGACGGUACCUGAAGAAGAAGCCCCGGCUAACUACGUGCCAGCAGCCGCGGUAAUACGUAGGGGGCAAGCGUUAUCCGGAUUUACUGGGUGUAAAGGGGGCGCAGACGGCGAUGCAAGCCAUGAGUGAAAGCCCGGGGCCCAACCCCGGGACUGCUCUUGGAACUGCGCGGCCGGAGUGCAGGAGGGGCG
rnacentral:rRNA from 1 species